rnacentral:lncRNA from 1 species
AUGGACAUGCAGGUUUUAAGAAUCAGGCUGGUGUGGCAGUUGGCUUCUGGAGAGCUGGGCAUGAUUAUAUUCAUGACUGUGGAGUGUCAGUGCAGUGGUAUUUGGGGGGGCAGACUGAGCCUGUCCCUAUGCUCCUUCUCUCCAGAGAUCUUCAUAUUGUCUUCCUCCCGUGCUGGACACGUGUGCCAAGGAACCUACCUAAAUCCAGAUCUAUGUCCUCCUCCUCUCUGCUCCACCUCAGCCUCUUCCUCCCUGCUGGACACCUGUGCCAAGGAACCUACUAAAUCCAGUGAUCUCUGCAUCCUCCUCCUCCCUGUUGGACACCUGUGCCAAGGAACCUACCUAAAUCCAGAGUCCUCUGCAUCCUCCUCCUCCUUUCUCACCCCGAGCAUCUUCCUUGUCUGCUGGACACCUGUGCCAAGGAACCUACCUCAAUCCAGAAUCCAGAGGCUGUCUGAGCUCAUGACAGCCUGCCCCAUUGUCUGGACUUUGGGCUACACAAGCUGCCUGAAAGUGACCCCCAGGUGUGAAGGCAGAAAAGUGUCCUUUCUGUCAGGUGAGAUCAUUUAGAUUGCAGAGUCAGAGGUGACCCAUAAACUAGCCCUCCUCACAAGGCACAUCCUGGGAAAUCUAUCACCAUCACCACCCCCACUUCCACCCCUCUGCCCAACCAAUUCAAACCCCAUGUCUGGGCUGGGAAGUGCCAAUCCCAAGCAGCUGCUGGGCUCUGCUGCUGCUCUGGCGCCCUCUCAUGGCCACUCUCUCCAAAAACAACUCGGAGCCCUUCCCCCUGCCUCCUGACCAAACCCAUGCCUGGACUGCCCUCC